UACGUAGGGUGCGAGCGUUAAUCGGAAUUACUGGGCGUAAAGCGUGCGCAGGCGGUUUUGUAAGCCAGAUGUGAAAGCCCCGGGCUUAACCUGGGAAUGGCAUUUGGGACUGCAAGGCUUGAGUGCGGCAGAGGAGACUGGAAUUCCUGGUGUAGCAGUGAAAUGCGUAGAUAUCAGGAGGAAUACCGAUGGCGAAGGCAGGUCUCUGGGCUGACACUGACGCUCAUGCACCGAAAGCGUGGG
rnacentral:rRNA from 1 species